GCGGCCGCCACCAGCCGGAAUAGCAGCCGGCGGAGCCCGUGCGCGCCGCAGCGCAGCGCAGCGGCCGGGGGGGUGCGGGCGCCCUUGCCGCCCGGAUACCUACCGCUGCCUGGGCGUCCCCACUGCCUCCCUUCCCCGCUUCUCCCCUCCCGCAGACGCCGGCCGGGGCGACCCCUCCCAGGGUAACCAGGGGGAGGUGUUCCACGUGGCCAUAGCUUUUGCGUCACAAUGACCUGGCGGACAGGUGGGAGCCACAGCGUACACCCCAGGGUUCCCUCCGUGCCGUGCGUAGUGCCUGCUGCUUGCUUCCAGGUUAAAUUUCUGUAGCUUUAGAGGACGGGAGACUUCAUGACUUCAAUGCCAAGAAAAGUUACAGAGGCCUGCUGUACCUGAAAAUCAAGUUUGAGCUUCAAGAAUAAAGGCCAUGUUUUAAAAACAGCUGUGAUGAAAGAACCAAACCAUUGUUUCUAGAGACCCUGCAGUGUACAGAUCACAGGAAGAAAAAGUGUUGGCGUAGCUGCUUCCUAAUGUUAUCUAUGUGGAAAUGAAACCUCAAUGUACUAUGACUUCA